CCUACGCGUGGCAGCAGUGGUGAAUAUUGCACAAUGGGGGAAACCCCGAUGCAGCGACGCCGCGUGAGUGAAGAAGUAUUUCGGUAUGUAAAGCUCUAUCAGCAGGGAAGAAAAAAGACGGUACCUGACUAAGAAGCCCCGGCUAACUACGUGCCAGCAGCCGCGGCAAUACGUAGGGGGCAAGCGUUAUCCGGAUUUACUGGGUGUAAAGGGAGCGUAGACGGUAUGGCAAGUCUGAAGUGAAAGCCCAGGGCUUAACCCUGGGACUGCUUUGGAAAAUGUUAGACUAGAGUGCUGGAGAGGUAAGUGGAAUUCCUAGUGUAGCGGUGAAAUGCGGAGAUAUUAGGAGGAACACCAGUGGCGAAGGCGGCUUACUGGACAGUAACUGACGUUGAGGCUCGAAAGCGUGGGGAGCAAACAGGAUUAGAUACCCUAGUAGUC
rnacentral:rRNA from 1 species